rnacentral:rRNA from 1 species
AGCGAACGCUGGCGGCAGGCGUAACACAUGCAAGUCGAACGGACCCUUCGGGGUUAGUGGCGGACGGGUGAGUAACACGUGGGAACGUGCCUUUAGGUUCGGAGUAACUCAGGGAAACUUGUGCUAAUACCGAAUGUGCCCUUCGGGGGAAAGAUUUAUCGCCUUUAGAGCGGCCCGCGUCUGAUUAGCUAGUUGGUGAGGUAAAGGCUCACCAAGGCUACGAUCAGUAGCUGGUCUGGGAGGAUGACCAGCCACAUUGGGACUGAGACACGGCCCAAACUCCUACGGGAGGCAGCAGUGGGGAAUCUUGCGCAAUGGGCGAAAGCCUGACGCAGCCAUGCCGCGUGGAUGAUGAAGGUCUUAGGAUUGUAAAAUCCUUUCACCGGUGAAGAUAAUGACUGUAGCCGGAGAAGAAGCCCCGGCUAACUUCGUGCCAGCAGCCGCAGUAACAC